UGGCCUGACACUGACGCUCAGGCACGAAAGCGUGGGGAGCAAACAGGAUUAGAUACCCUGGUAGUCCACGCCCUAAACGAUGCUCACUAGGUGUUGGGGAAGCGAUUCCUUGGUACCGUAGCUAACGCGUGAAGUGAGCCGCCUGGGGAGUACGGCCGCAAGGUUAAAACUCAAAGGAAUUGACGGGGACCCGCACAAGCGGUGGAUGAUGUGGAUUAAUUCGAUGCAACGCGAACAACCUUACCUACCCUUGACAUGUCUGGAGGGCUGCUGAAAGGUGGCUGUGCCCGAAAGGGAACCGGAACACAGGUGCUGCAUGGCUGUCGUCAGCUCGCGUCGUGAGAUGUUGGGUUAAGUCCCGCAACGAGCGCAACCCUUGUCCCUAGUUGCUACGCAAGGGCACUCUAGGGAGACUGCCGGUGACAAACCGGAGGAAGGUGGGGAUGACGUCAAGUCCUCAUGGCCCUUAUGGGUAGGGCUUCACACGUCAUACAAUGGACGGUACAGAGGGUUGCCAACCCGCGAGGGGGAGCCAAUCCCAGAAAGCCGUUCGUAGUCCGGAUUGCAGUCUGCAACUCGACUGCAUGAAGUCGGAAUCGCUAGUAAUCGCGGAUCAGCAUGUCGCGGUGAAUACGUUCCCGGGUCUUGUACACACCGCCCGUCACACCAUGGGAGCGGGAUGUACCAGAAGUAGGUAGGCUAACCGCGAGGAGGCCGCUAC
rnacentral:rRNA from 1 species